GUGUCAGCAGCCGCGGUAAUACGGAGGGUGCAAGCGUUAUCCGGAUUCACUGGGUUUAAAGGGUGCGUAGGUGGACAUUUAAGUCAGUGGUGAAAUCUUUGGGCUUAACCCGAAAACUGCCAUUGAUACUAUUUGUCUUGAAUUCUCUGGAGGUAAGCGGAAUAUGUCAUGUAGCGGUGAAAUGCUUAGAUAUGACAUAGAACACCCAUUGCGAAGGCAGCUUACUACGGAGACAUUGACACUGAGGCACGAAAGCGUGGGGAUCAAACAGGAUUAGAUACCCCAGUAGUCC
rnacentral:rRNA from 1 species